rnacentral:rRNA from 1 species
UACAGAGGGUGCGAGCGUUAAUCGGAAUUACUGGGCGUAAAGCGCACGUAGGCGGCUUGGUAUGUCGGGUGUGAAAUCCCCGGGCUCAACCUGGGAACUGCAUCCGAAACUGCCUUGCUAGAGUAUGGGAGAGGGAAGCGGAAUUUCCGGUGUAGCGGUGAAAUGCGUAGAUAUCGGAAGGAACAUCAGUGGCGAAGGCGGCUUCCUGGACCAAUACUGACGAUCAGGUGCGAAAGAGUGGGGAGCAAACAGG